UAAAGAUCUAAGAGUUGAUAAACAUUUUGUAGUAUCCCUGCCUCUAAGAGUUCUGUUCCUUGAAAAAUGGUGGGAAACUAACCUGUGGAUACAUACCAGUUCAUUCCACUUCAUCUCCAAAUUCAUGUAAUGAAGGUGUUGAUUCAAGUUACUACUGAAGAGUGGUAGAAAAUUGGCCCACCUGUAGGGGAUGAAGAAUCAGGAACAGGAUGAACGAUGUGGUUAUUGGGAGGAUAAGAAAAAUAAUAAAGACAAAGACCAUUUGGAAACACCCACACAUAGACAGUGGACAAAGGAAGAAAGAAAACAAAAACCAUGAAGAGAUUCAUGGUGGGGAAUCACCUGUAUCUAUCCAGUCUUCACUGAGAAAGCACACAGAAGUUAUUUCACCUGUUGACCUCCAAAAAAAAAAAAAAGGGAAGCAACUGCAGGCAAAGGAAAAGUUUGGAGCCUGGGGAAGUGUAAGAAAGAAAAACAAGUACAAAACAAAGCAUGACAAACUGCAGACUAUGGUUGCAUGUGCUUCCAGGCUCAGUGUGUCUCAUUGGAAAAAAAGAGUACUGCGUAGUGAAUUACAUGGAUGUGGGACUUCAGUCUUUAUUAUUUACACCAACUUAAAUCACACUUGUGGCUUUUUUUCUGCUGAAGGAAAUAUGUAACAAAGUGAAUAAGAUAAGAAUUCCUUAAGAGAAGAAAGACUGCCAUAUCAUUCUGUGACUCCUCAGAAUAUUUCAUUACUAAGUGCCUUUGGUCUGUGAAGUUUGUAAGCACUACAUUUGCAGUGCUAAGGCUUAUCCAGCUAGUCGUGGUUUGCAGCAGCAGGUUUCUCCUCAUUUGCUCUUCCAAAGAACUUCUGAAGAUAUCCUAAUUCAGACUACACACCACUUAAACCGUAGUACAGGACAAAUCACUACAAAUUUGUUCUACUGGGUAGCAAUUUCAACUGAAGCUCAUAGUCAAACACUAUAUACAAAUGCAAUUAUUCAGUACAGUCAAGGGAUGAUGACCUUAUGAUCAAACUACAUACCAACAGAAAUAUGCUGUCUCUGAAUCUUUAGCUAGUGCCACUUCUUUAUAUUGAGAUAAGUUUAUGGUCGCAGAAAAGUUGAUCUUUACGCAAUCCUUUCUCCACUGGUCCAGUGAACCGAACCUACCUUCUGGAGCCUGUAAUUAUGGGUCCUAAUGCUUUUCAUUCUCAGGCAUUCUCCAGUGUCCUCAGAGACUAUCAGGCUCUGGUUCUGCACCAAUGCUUCUCAAAACCUUUAGGACACAUUGAAAUUAUGUCCAAAUCCAAAAGAAAUGACUGAUGUGGCUCAAAGGUUGACAGUGCUAGGGUUACGCAACUGAAUUCUUACAGCUCUUUGGUUUGAUGCCACUAGGAAAAGACAAACAUCCAGAUUUGAUGUCUUUUGAUGCCCAGAGUUGAUGUCUUUUGAUGUCUUUUUAACUGCCACAGUUGGUCAAUCUUAAUUUCAUUGACAGAAGUGCAAAGUGAGACUGUAUUUAAGAGCUGCACUAUAGCUGUUCUGAUUUACACCAGUAUCAGUGAGAUUUAAGGAAUGAUCUUUCACAUUGUUGAGCUACAGGAUGCUUCAUGUUAGCUGUCUAGAUAACGAAAAAUAUCAUGGUUUUCCUGAAUGAAAACAUACCAGUUGAGGAACUUGUCCUUACACCUCGCCACUGCUCAACGUAAGAAAACAAAUCACAUUUGUGGAAUGUUUGUGAUUCACCCCAUAUCAACAAUGUUAACAUGGAGCUACAAAGCACUAGAUUUUGUAGAUGGGUAUUAAAAAAAGCAGGAGGCCUUUGGACAACUUUUUAGUUAAGUGCUUUGCCCAGUGACAGGUGCUUUUGCAAUCACCCCUUCUCCUCACCUUACGGUCUACCACAGUAUGUAUCAGAGAUCUCUGGGAAGGGAAACUAUCACACCUAAUGCAUUUGGACAAGUCUAGCAUGUGUGCAAAUUAAUAAGAAUGGCUUAUUCUAUUCUUUAUUUUGUUUUGCAAGGGUUGCCUUGCAUUUUUGCAACCUGCACAUCUGCUUCCCUGCUCUAACUAAUGAUAAUGGAUCUAGCAGAAUGCAAAGAACACAAUAUUCCCUCAAGUGCAUUUUUUUUUUUUUUUAUGGGGGAAUCUCCUACUGAAAGAUAGAAACCUAAAUCAACUUCUUAAAAUAGAGAAUAGAUUCAUUAUUAAAUUCUCCUCUUCAGACACUGGAGGAAUCCACAAAUGCAACACAGGAAAGGAACUGAGAGUUGGAAAGAGCACUGCAAGUAAUCCUUUGCAAAACUCGUGGUUAAACUGUGAGAAGAAAAUUUCUGAUUUAAGAAUAUGUAUUUUUGCCUCUAGUAUAAAAUAAAAAUAAAAUAAUAAAAAAUAAAAAAUAAAAUAAACAGCAAAUAUUAAACACCUCAUAGUAACAGUUGCCUGGCAUACUGCAUGACAGUUAACUCUGUAAGAAGGGCACAUCUUGACUUCAUUUUGUCUUCUAACUUUGCCUUUCUCUUCUAAAGUAGUCUUUAAACAUUUUUAUCUAAACUAUACAAAGCAAAAAAGGAAAAGCUGUAGUAAUGCACUGCUGAAUAAAAAACAAACAAAAAACCAAACAACAUUCAAAUACUUCUACUAUCCUGUUUCAAUGACCUUUAUGAAUAAAGGAAUGACUGUAUUAAUAAAAGUUCCCAUAGAACAUUUUUUUGCAAGUCUUUACAUGAGAUUGUAUCAGUAACCAGAUUUAUAGACCAGUCUCUGGCUGCAAACACACUGUGCAUCCUUUCUACAUGAAGAACAAAUUCCCUCUCUUUUUACACUAGCACAAAACACUGGCACUCAGCAGCACAGUAGCAGCAAAUGCAGAUGUUGUGUGAUAAUGAACAUAGAUAAAGCAGAAUCUCCACAGAAAAGCAAUAUUACAAGUGCAGCUGGUGAUGCUGCUCAUCAGCUGUCUGUUCAGAAGUAGUGCAGAACUUGUACUUUGAUCCCGGAAGCUGCCAAGACUUUUGCAUGGGGUUCAACGCCGCUCAGUUUUGACACUGAGAACAGAAACAUUAUUUUGAUGUCUUUCCACGUUUUUGGUAAGGACUCUCUACAAAGCCUGAUACAGAACAUACGUGUUAAAUCUUUACACAUCUUGUGCAGGUACUCCUACAAAGCACCUUUUUCCUGCUCUCUAUCCAGUACAGUAACAUCUAAUGUCUUAAAGAUGAAAAAGAAUCCAAAUAAGACAUUAUUUAUUUUUUUCUGUGAUAUCUUCCCUUUGGGAAAAGAGAUUGCUCGUGUUCAGCUCUGUCUAUGAGCUAAUGCUAGACUUCAAACCACCCUCACCUCAAUUGUAGCAUUUAUUAACUUUACAUAUAAGGUUUAUGACUUCUAGAUUAGUAAAUUAUGUAGUAAGGCCUUGUAAUAGAUUUAAUUGUGUUAAUUUUAGUUGAAUUAUAUGGUGUGUUGAUUCUGUGAAGAACUCUGUUGCGCAAACCACGAAGUAAAGAUGCUAUUAAGUUUUUAAGAGCCUAUUCCAAACAUUGCUGUGCUUAUGAAUCAGCAAGUAUUCCUGCACAGCACUGAGUACCAAAAUCUACCCUGCGUGAAGAUGGUGAGUAUGGUCACAUCCAUGCAGACAGAAAAGUUCAUUAUUUCACAAUUGGUGUAUAUUAAUUUAAUAAAAAGGUCACAUUGAAAUUCCCAAGAUUCCAGUUCUCAACUACACAGAUCUUUUGCUAUAACUGGAAUUACUGGAGGAACACUGCAAUUUUCCAUCAGAUGAAACAAUGAGUAUUGACUUUUAAUAAGCUGUUGAAUAUUUCAGCACUUCUGAAAUAUGAACUCAACAGCUUAUAGGAUCAGUGCUCCUGUUUGCAAUUUGCUGUCAGAUACAAAGGGAUUGUUCUAAUAUGUUUGGUAUUACCAUCAGCUAAUCCUUUUCUGAUUUCUGUAUGUCACAAGAAAGUGAAAUAAAACUAUGGGAUGUUGUUUUAUGAGCAAUGCAAUAAUAAAGACCCAAAUAAGGCUUUUCUUAAAACCAACUUAGCCUUCAAAUAGCAGCUUAAGGAAUGCUCUCUGGAAUCUAACCUAUAAUGACUCAAGACCCAGUUUUCCCAGGAAAAGGUUUGAAUCAGUGUAUCAGCAUUAAACCUUUAGGCUAGGAUUCAGAAUGUACUUUCUCUUUUUACUGUAUAUGUAUAGGAUGUUUUUAGCUUAGUGCAUUAAUAGGACAACACAAUAAAGGAGGAUUAUGAUCCUUGUUCCGUAUUUUGCUCAAAAUUUAUAGGAUAUUUGGAAAAGAACAAUUUUGAUUUCCUAAUUCCUACUAAUAAAGGAGAAACAUGAGGUCCAUUUUGGAUUUUAUUUAGCUUAACAAUAAUAAUAAGGAUAAUAUUCAAAAUAAUGGCUUAAAUUUAGGAGCCCAAAAUGUUGUUCAAUUCUCAAAAUAAACUCUGCAUUUUGUGAAGCAUCUCCACAUGCAAUAAAGAAGUCAAUGGCAUGACAAAAACUUAAAACUGAAGUUUUACUGUAAAAGUGAAAAAGAAGCGUUUUUAGCUCACUUUGUUAACACCUCUGGCUGACGUUCAGCUGACAUGCUGGAGGACACAGCCAGCAGUGCUUUGGUAGUGGUAUCAGAUUAGCGUGCAAUUCAUGCUGCUGUCUCGUACAUCUAUUAGACUGAGAGUACUGGAAAUUUCAGAGUCACGUUGUUUGAACUGUACCCUCUAACUGAAAGAAAUCAAGCCAGAAAAUAAAGGAGAUGGCUUGCAAAAUGAAAUUCUCAGGAAAAAAAGAAGUGCAUUCUGAGCAAGUCAAACUCUUUAAUUUUAGGUUAGAUUGCUCGCGCCUCACCUGACUGUAGGAAAUUUGAAAACACCGACACACAUUAUGAAAUAGAAAAAUAUUUGGCCAAAACAGACCUUGCUCAGAGGUCACAUCUUACUGUGCUUUGGUAAAUCUUGGACAAAUUACAGGUUUUCUGAUGAAAACAAUUUCAGCUGGAAAAUUUCUACCUAGGUUCACUGAGCUGCUGCUUCUUUCCACCUUUUUUUGGCAGAAUGAACACCAGACAAUAGCUAUAAUAGCUAUAAUAGUUUGGCCUUCUGGACAUUCAUAUACCACACAGCAUUUACUAUGUUUUGUUGCUUAUUAUAGCCAAAGUAUAACUCCUUUGGAUUUGGAUCAAUCAUUUGGCCUUUCUUCCUCAGAGUUAUGAAACUUCUCCCUUGAUUGCUAACUUCAGGACUUUAGGGAAUGGAUAGACAUGAGUGGCAACAGCAGCAAGUGGUGCUCAGUAUUAGUGGGAAAAUAAGGCUCAGGGAAACCAUAAAACACAAAUAAAUACCUGGCAAUAAAGAGACAACACAGUAUAGAAGAUGAAAAUGAUUUCUUAGUGAAAUGGAUCUUGAAGCAUGAGCCUGGUACUAAGGCACAGUGUUUGGUAGGGAGAGUAAAUUAAAUUUUACUUUUAAAUUUUAGUCCAUGCAUCUUUAAAGAAAAAAAGAAAAAAAGAAGUGCAGAUAAAACAGGCAUCAGCCAUUAUAAAACAUGGAACAAGACGGUCUUUUAAACAACAGGCUUUCACAAACCCAUAUUUUAAUGUGGCUUGUCCUGGGAUAAUAUAGUAUAUCAGUGGUUCUCAGAUUCUUUCACAGCACAGAUCAUCUUUUAGGCAAAACUGCCUAAACUGUCUUGGACCCCUCACCCUUGCAAUGACAUUCCUAACCAGACCUGCACACACCCUACUAGCAAUCAACCUAUGAGUGCAUAUGCACAGACUCACAUAAAACAUUGAUCAGCAACAAAAGAAAAUUACUCUCUUACCUCAUGAGUCCAGGCAUUUUCUUGGGACUCCUGCUUCACUUUUCUAUAGCUUUUGCCUGCAAAAACGGCAGCAUCAUCCCCAUGGUUCAGCCUUGCAGAUGCCAUCUGUGGUGUCCUGUAAUCACUGAAGGGCUCCUACAGUUCCUGGGAUGGAGCAGAGCAGCAGUUAGGACAGCAUUCCUGGUGGCUGAACUGCACACCUGAGCCCCUGCUCAGCAACAGGCUGAGAGCCGCCGGAACUCUGCGACUCAGUGACCAGAAAGAGCCAGCUACAAACCCCAUUUCUGACAGUAAAGGCUUAUUCUGUUCUUCCUUGGUUUUAAACAUGUAAUUCAAUGUAGCAAUUAAUUAAUUCUUUAAGUAAUUAAUUACUAACUGCUAAGGAAUUAUUGUAACGCUGUAUGUAGAAGUAAUAAAAUUACUUAAGGGUUUCAGAAAAUUCUUCAAGAAAGCAAUUAUUAGUAGUUGUAGUCAAAAUUAUUUGUUAUAUUAAUUACCAGUAAUCUCUGCCUAGGCAUAAUUAGACAAAGUAAUCUUACAGUGGUGCAACAUAAUUAUGUCACUAAUGAGAGAAAUAACAGAUUAUUUUACAUAAAUUUGUCAUAUUAUAUGCUUAAGAGCUUGCUGAAGAACUGAAGAACAAAGCAAGGAAUUAAAGAGCAAACACACACAAAGUUUGGGAACAAGUUCUCACAGCAGCGGCAUAUUAAGGCAGGUCUUAAAAUCUAUUACUCCUUGUUAACAACUUAUAGAUAUGAACUGAACUUCCGCCCUGAGUAAAAUCUGGUUUCAUAUCUCAGUUCAUAGCUUUUCAGUAGAUCUCGACUCCUGUGCAAAUAAAUCUCACUCAGUCAAAUUCUUUGGGAAUGUCUCUUUCAUGCAUAACCACGUAAAUCCAACAGGAAUGAUUCAAUGGGAAAAAUAAGAAAAUCACUAUUUUGUAUUUGUAAUUGACAAAUCUCUUACUUUUUCCACUAGCAUUAAUGUCAGUCAGACCCAUUUCUGCACAAUGUAAGCAUGGGUUAUUAAUAAUCCAACAUUUGAGAUAUCCCGCCACAGCUUCUUUGCAGUCGGUCCUUUUCACCUGUACCUUUUAAUAAGGUCUAAGCACAUGCUUGACAACAAAUGUAUGUUCAAGGGAGUUUCUGAAUUUGAGCACAAAUUAAUAAGGAAAAAGGUAAUAAGCAUAAAAUAUUAACUAGUUAUACAGAACACUUCUCUUUGAAACAACCAAAGAGGAAACUUCUUCCUUUUCUUCUUUUUUUUUUAAUACCAAAAUGCGACCAUUGAUCAUAGAAGAGAAGGUAUUUUACUGAAAACUUUUAACAACUCCA
ensembl:lncRNA